AAAAAUUUAAGAGAUUGAGGUCAUUUUAACUACAUUUUUUAAAAUACGGUUACAGAUUUUUAACUAUGAAUAAGGACGUUAGCAUACUUAGACUAUUCCUCGUUCUCCCCACCUCCCUUAUACUUAGUUCCUUCAUGUUUUCCUGAACUAAUUUUAUUUUUGCCUUAUUUUUCUUAAAAACUUUUAAUUUCUGCUAUUUUGCUAUAUUUUAUGAUAUGUUAAGCCAUCCUUAGUUUAUAAUAGGAACAUGGCAGAAUAUAAAUAAAUCAUAGAUAAACAUACUAGAAGUUAUUAUAAUUUAAAAUUUUGAUAAUUCUGAUUUAUGAUUUACCAGUAAUUUUUUGGUAUGCAAUAGUAUGUGUAAUGGUUACUUCUAGUUCUGUAUUCACUAUUGAAAGCACGCUUUAAAGCAGCCCAGAAGUCUCUUUAAAUCGGUAUUUACCUCUACACUAAUAAAUCUCUAUAAAUUGUUGUGUCUUCAAUUUACCAUUAAUAAGCAGUAGAAAAAAUUGUUUUGCUUUGCUUUGGUACUACUGAAAUUGUGUGUUCUAAUAUAGUGAGGCCAUGAGGUGAGUGACUCCUAGUUUGCUAUUUUUUAAAUUACAGGCUGUUAAGUCAGAUCUGCCAGGAUCAGGUCCUAAAAGUGCUAUUUUUCACACAUCAAAAUCCAAGUUGAAAUACUGGCUUGUUUGUUAAGAUUAAUUAACUAUAGGUAAUACUUGCACCUUGCCUCAUUAAAAGAAGAAAAAAUGCCCCACUAUAUUCACUCACAGAAUUUUAGUAGAAAAGUUAAUGAUGAAUGUAAACAAACUUCAUGCAAAUACAACAUUUUUACCAUUUAGGAAAAAGAAAAACAUGAUUUUUCCCCCUCCAAAAUAGAGAUAAUUACUGAUAAUGCAAUUUGCAGCUGUUUUCUUCAUGUGACCUCUGUUUUUUUUUUUGUUUUCAAGUAUCAGAAAAUUGCAAACUUGACCAUCUGAUCUCAGGUAGUUGAGCAGUAUUGGGUGUUAAAAAAAUACUGGAAUUAGACACAUAGUAGCUCUGUCAUAAUUGGAUUUGAACUUCGACAAGUUUCUUAGCCCUGUGAGCCUCAGUUUCAUUUGAAAAAUGAUGGGAUUAAACUAGCAGGUCACUAAGUGCCUUCUAUUUGUAAAACCUUUGUUCCUAACUGAGCUAUAUUGAAAAUAUCAGUGCCCUCUUGAGUGUUCCUAUAUCAAGUUGCAUUGCAGCAAUUUUAAAACAUUGUUCAAACAAAAUGCAUUGACUUUGAAAAAUAAAAAUAUCUUUGAAGAGAAGUAUGAAAUGAAAAUAAGUAAAUAAAAAAUAUGUUGACUUCCUUUAACUUAAGCUUUAAGUGGUUUUGUGAAAUAAAACAAGUGUAACUGAGUGUCCAACCUCAACACAUCAGUGAUCAUAUUUCUGUGACAAGAACCACAUUGCAUCUCUGAAGCCCUGUAGUACUUCCCCGGGUUUGUCCCACAGACCAAGGCACAUUGUAGUUUUAAACACAGACUGGAAAUGUUCAGAAGAUUCAGUGGAAGUCAUGGACCAGGAAAGAUGGAGUUGGUGGUAAUUCAGACAAUUAGUUUAUUUGAUCUGACGAUUUCUCUAGGUUCCAGAAGUACAUGUUUUAAAUUAUAGUGGCUAUUUGUCCCAUGAAUUACCUGAAAUUAAACAGUUUAAUUUUAAAAAAGCAGUAUUUAUUUAGAAAUUAAAGAUUUUUUAAAAAUUUGCAUAUGGUAAUGAAUAACUUUAUCUUCUAUUAGAUGAUCAUCAUGAAAAAGUAAAUGAAUGUAUUUAAAUUAAUGGGUUUCAAGAUUAGACACAAGCCAUGGACUUUCAAAAUACAUCUUUUAGAUUAUAAAAAUAAUUCAUGCUAAUCAUAGAAAUUUUAUAAUUUACAGGAAAGUAUAAAGAAAAAUAAAUUUAUCAGUUUCAUCAUCUGGAGAUAACUGCUGCUCCCAUUUUUCUGUACUUUUUUCCUUUUUUUUUUUUUCCAUUCACACCAACAAAAAUAUUUUCACUUUAAGUGUCAGUGGGAUUAUAUUGUAUAUACAGUUUUUGAUUCCUCCCCUUCCCACUCAUAUCCUUAUAUGAUUAUAGAAAAAUGUCUCUAAUUGCUACAUAGUAUUCCCUUGUUUUGACCAUUCAAAUAUCUUGCCAGCUUUUAAUGAUUAUAAAUACUGCUACAAUAAAGAUCCUUGCAUAUAAAA
rnacentral:lncRNA from 1 species